rnacentral:sRNA from 1 species
UGUAGCUAAAGAUGACUUUGAACUCAGCCCUUGUGACUCCACCUCCAAAGAGCUGAGAUUCAGAUGGCGUAGAUCCAGGAGAAUACAAGCUACUUUUGCUAGGAAGAAUCUCCUAGUUGUAAGCUGAGUCACUGGAAACAUCUUUGUCCACAGAACAUAGGAGACCACAGUGUUCUGAAGCAUUUGGAAAUUUUGUGUCCAGGUGAAGGGAUCUGUCUCCUGGAGCAUACCUCAGCAGAAAGAAAAAAAAAUCUUCACAGUUUUAUCAACCUACCAUGCUGACUAGGUGAUGGCUUGUCAAGGCAAGUUUAAAACCCAGCUAAAAGUUCCCUGAAGUGAGAGGUGGAAUCUCACUUUCAGAUCUCAAAUCCAGUGAAAUUUGACAAAUCCCCAAAGCAGGAGAAGUGUUGCUCUCUGACUCUCUAAGAGAACAGCCCAAGCAGCUACACUGUUUCUGGAUGUUACUAGGGCUGCUGAGUCAUGGAACCUUGAGACAAUUCAGAAGAAAUCACCCUUUUCUAUGCCUGUUAGGAUGGAGAAGCUACCCAGAGGUGCUUUAGUAAAUAGCCCAUGCUGAUGUCUCCUCACCCAUUCUAGCCCAGCAUUUAGAUGCAUGAGCUAAAAAUCUAUCCCGCAAUGGGAUCCCAUAGCGCAGUCCCAGGCCAGUCCUGCAGCAAUCCCUGAGGAGAAGCUGGAAUUCAGACCAUACAAUAGAGAAAAGAGGUCCUCAUGUUUCCACCUGAGCUCCUGAGUCCCCCAAAUUGACAAGCACUGUGAACUGAUUGUUCUAUGCCACUACAAUAAACAAUGCUCCAU